UCGUCUAAACAUUUCUUUUUUUUUGUGUUGGUGUGUGCGUUCCCGAGUGGAGGAGAGGGAGAGCGGGUACUUCAGCGGCGGCGGCGGUGGCGGGUGCGGCCGGCGAAAGCCGCUCGAGGUCGCGGUGUGUCGUGCGGGGGCUCGGGGGGGUUCGAGGCGCGGAGGGAGGGGAGGCAGGUCUAAGAGGCGAGGGCCGGAGAUGACGGGCGAGCGUUGGUGUGGGGGCACCGAUCCCAAAGCCCGUCACGAAGCGGCCGGGCAGAGGCCGCCGGGGUCUACGUCUACCUCGUGCGGUACCCUAAAGGGGUAGGUGGUGCGAGCGACGGCAGUUCCCGUCCUUCCUUGGGAUCGGUCGUCGUGGAGGAGUGGAGCCUACUACGGAGACGACGUGGUUCUAUCCCAAAACAAGCUAGGAUGUGAAUUUCUUUUAGUAUGACUUCUAGACUCGAAUUCACAAGGUUGUCGACUUCGUGGUCGAGUUCUACUUCCCUUAGAGAAUUAUACUAACAUCUAGGUAAGGGCAUUUCACGUCAAUCUUAUACCUUAGGUGGAGCUUGAGCCAAAUUUUUUGUCUUUCGUAUACCUUAAAACGAGAUAGUCCAUCGUUAAACCAACAAGUUAGGUAGGUAUCAAUGUAAACUUCUAUAUAACAACUUAAAGGAAUAAAACACUUAUGUUCAGACUUGAAAAUCCUGUAGACCGUGUACUCAAACUUGGUAGGUUAAUAUCACGAUGAUUAAAACCCAGUGAUGUAGUACGUUAUGAUACCUACGACAAAUUGUACCGUUUCAACCUAAAAAAAAAUAAGAAAAAAGUCUAAUCUUAGUGAAAUCGUUACGGUAUAUCUAUUAUGUUCUACACCGUUUCACAACGUAAGUUAUCUCUAAUGUUACUAUUUAACCACUUUAAUCAAACGAGAGACUAGAGACAAUCGAAAUUGAGCGAUCCUUCGGUACAUCAGGAUAAAAAUCAUGAUCCUCCUCUUGCAUAUAAUUUAUAUACGGUAGGUCCUUUAACUAGAGACAACACGACCCCGUUUGAUUCGGUCUCGUUCGUGAAUGAGUUCCGUUCCUCGUCACGAGCAUGAACGAGUACCAACUCCAUCUAAGUCCAAUUUAAAAUACACAACUAAGGGAAGAGAAAGUGUACAGAUCCAGAAACACGGACUAGUUCGACAAGAAACUGUUCAUAAUAGAAACUCACUACGGUACAACCAUUAUUUUAUGAUAUAUUGAGUGUAAAGAAUAUACAAGGAAAAAGUAAAAACAGGAAAGUAAACUUUCGAGUAUACCAGUUAAAACCUCCGCUGAUGUACAUAUAUGACGACUACAAUGUACAUUUGUUUAAGCUACAAAAAUACGUAUACUGGCACGUGUAGUGGCUUGGGAAAGGUAAGAUAACGUUCCAGUUUAUCAAAAAGCACAAGAUUGAGAAACCCUAUCAGACGUCAAUAAACCAAGUAGCAGCGCGGAGUUCAAAGGUUGUCGCGGCACCGACAUGUGGCAGCUGAAGCGGCCUUUAGGAAGACGUGUAUGAGAUGACAGGCGGCUUUGAAACAGACUGGACUCAAUAAACCGAGUAGAAGUGCGGAGUUCAAAGGCUGUCGCAGCACCGACAUGUGGCGGCUGAAGCGGCCUUUAGACAGACGUAUAUGAGAUGAUAGGCGGCUUUGAAGCAGACUGGACUCCAUGUAUGAUGUCACAGUAGCUAAACAUAGACAGUAGUUGAUGAAUGAAGAAUUCAGACAUAUCGUAGUUGAUAUGAUGAAUAAUUUUCCCUCUUUCUCUCCUAUACAAUCUCGAUCUACUUUGUUAUCAUGACACUUUCUCUCCUAAGACGAGAGAUACACUCAUAGAACCACGUACGAACAAAGAUUUAUUUUACGUCUCUAGUACUUACUUAAUUUUGUACGAGAGACUACAAAAGUCAAUUUCAUCAUAGUCAACAUAUGAACAUAUGUGGGGUAAACUUUUUAUCAUACAUAUACGAGGAACGUUUGAUGAUGCAUUUAGAUUUGCAAAAUGUAUUCUGACAGGCAGAUCUAUGUUAUUGAUUAAUCAUAAAAUUAUCGAUCUUAACGUACCGAACUAGCGAGACGAACCCAGAAGAGAAUACAGACUCACGUGGUACACGCCAAAUUUAUUCAGAAGAUUGACAAACCCGAUUAAACGCAAGACAAAACUAAACUCGACUACCCCUACUCUACACUGGGGCGACGACCCGCAGCGUUUACGGUGACGAGGUUACACACGGGGUCGAAGCCACUACAUGCCCGCUCCGUUGUGCUAAACCUCGUCACUGGGAGGAAGGUUCUUUAGUUCAAAAAAGCAAGUCUAAAAUCUCGAGCUCAAAGUCGAAUCAAGUUCCUAUCUUUUCGUAUCAGGAAUACCUAAGUUGUUCCUUCUGGUAAUCGGCGGUGGAAAAGUCUUAACCUACCACACCACGUGGAAGUAGGACGACAGGUUAAGGAAUCGAAUAAACGAAAUUGACAUGAUGUCAAUAUAUCGUCCUAUUCCUAGGUUAGAACACUACGGAGAGGUAAACGUGGUAGCAGUUUUCAACGUGUACUCAACUAAGUCUGAAAGUCUUAAGUAUCUUGUGGAUCUCAAUAAAAUAAAGGUGUUUAUAGUGGUACAAAACGAUAACUACAUUACGAUAUAAGGAACUGACUUUAGUUUGGGAAAUCAACGAUGACACCACGAAAAUAAUAACAAUAUAAGGUCUUUCAACGUCAAAUAAACGAGAUUUUGAUGAGGU
rnacentral:rRNA from 1 species